CGCACAAGCGGCGGAGCAUGCGGAUUAAUUCGAUGCAACGCGAAGAACCUUACCAAGGCUUGACAUAUACUGGACCGCCUCAGAGAUGGGGUUUCCCUUCGGGGCUGGUAUACAGGUGGUGCAUGGUUGUCGUCAGCUCGUGUCGUGAGAUGUUGGGUUAAGUCCCGCAACGAGCGCAACCCUCGUUCUAUGUUGCCAGCACGUUAUGGUGGGGACUCAUAGGAGACUGCCGGGGUCAACUCGGAGGAAGGUGGGGAUGACGUCAAAUCAUCAUGCCCCUUAUGUCUUGGGCUUCACGCAUGCUACAAUGGCCGGUACAAAGGGUUGCGAUACUGUGAGGUUGAGCUAAUCCCAAAAAGCCGGUCUCAGUUCGGAUUGGGGUCUGCAACUCGACCCCAUGAAGUCGGAGUCGCUAGUAAUCGCAGAUCAGCAACGCUGCGGUGAAUACGUUCCCGGGCCUUGUACACACCGCCCGUCAA
rnacentral:rRNA from 1 species